rnacentral:rRNA from 1 species
CCCGCUGAGUUUAAGCAUAUCAAUAAGCGGAGGAAAAGAAACUAACAAGGAUUCCCUUAGUAACGGCGAGCGAACCGGGAAUAGCCCACCAUGAGAAUCGGUCGCCCCUAGCGUUCGAAUUGUAG